GCGCCUUGGCCAGCCAGCAAGGAGGAGCAGCCGCAAACAGGUGGGGAGCGACAAAAAGAAUGGCGGCGGAAAGCGGACGUGGUGCGGGCUGGCGGACGGCGAGGAGGAGAGGGGCCGGCUGAGCGCGGCUGGGAGGUUCUGCAUUCCGUGGAAGAGGAUCUCAAUUAUCGCUUUCCAGUCACGAUCCAGCGCCAUGGUUGGGGGGUUUCAUUAGCGAGCCAUGUGUGUAUUUUUAUUUGCAUUUUUGGUAUACAAGGUGUUUGAUGGAAUUACCCUGUAGGUCUGCACAUCCAUCUUGAUUCCGAAGAAUGCCACAUCGCUGCUGGAGAAUAAGGAUCCUCUCAAGGUUGAAGGUCAUUCGCUGGUCCUAAUACUUACACAGAUCUAUUUUAAGGAAAUGAGUGACUAGUUUUGCCAAAACUAUGACGGCCCACUUUUAUUACUACAUAUGGGUACCCCGAGCAUGGUGGGUGCUCAGGUUGGCAGAAUGCUUCUGCAAUUAUAUGGAUUUUCAAUAUUGUGCGGUCAUGCCUUCAAAUUGAAGCUUGUUGCAAUUAUCUAAUGGCUUGCUUGUUCUGAAUUCAAACUGCGCCAUGAAGAGACACCCAACAGGUUUGAGUCUCUGAAUCAGAGGAAAGCAAUCUCUUGAGAUUAUGAGAUGUAACAAAUGGAGCUUAUGAUUUCGAUGCUUCUCUUAUAUGUGUUGUUGCUAUACUUAGAAGACGUUGUGUUGUUUCUAUACUUAGAAGACAUUAGAUAACUUUGGACCUGCUGCAAACGCAGCAUUGGUGCAGACAAGUGGGCUCUACAGCACAAAUUAAUUCCGAUCAAGUUGCAAAGCCUGUACUGUGAUGGUUACAAGUUGGUUAGCUGUGUUCUUGUUUUGUACCCAUUUCUUAACUCUCUCUUCUAUCUGUGCACAUCGUUUCAAGGUAAGUAUACACAUAGCAUGUUGUUAGGUCAUAUUCACCAAUGAGUCAAACAUUGAGGUCUGGAAGAAUAAGCGACAGCAAGCUAUUAACUCAAAAGUCGGAUGUCUUGAAAACUUUAUUGAGUAUGUUAAUGUCAUAUUCAGGUAUUUUGCGAACCUAUCUUCUUCUCUCUAAUAUUUUGUUAAAAAGUAUUUGUUACGUUUCUGAUCAAUCCUUGGAGUAUUCAUAACAAUAAAAGAACUGUAGAACUUAUUUUGUUUGUCUCAUAAUUGAAAUGGAAUUUAGAUAUUAGUCUAU